GCGAAACAUGGCUCUCCUUAUUCUUUCUUCGGGGUGCCACAUCAUCCCAUCACCGCUAGGAGGCGACAAAGCAGCACGGCCUAAUCAUAGUCUACUGAUGUCUGAUCAAGUUACCGUGCAGGAAUCAUGAAAAGCUAAAGUUCAAUUCAUUUUUAAGCAGUAGACGACCCCUCCCUGUGAUGUGUCGAGGAGGCAGACAUUGUCACCAACAGAUUUCUAAGUGGGCUCUGCACAUGGUGAAAAAAGAAUGCCAGGGGAUUCACACAGAGAGGAUAAAAAGCAGAGGAGGUCACACUCCUUUCAUUUCCUCACAGAAGGCAACAAGCACAUCUUAGUGGAGUGGAAAACAAAAGGGCGCCACAGGGGAGAUGGAUGGCUGCUGUGUGUAUACUGAAAGCUGAGACAGAGCAGGAACCUGCACACACCUUUGGAGGGGCCAGUCGCUUGUCCUGAAGGUGUUCAUAUUUGCAUUCUUCAUCCCACUAACACCUCUGUCUGUUCUUUUGAAGUCUGGAGAAGAAGAAGCGCAUACCAGCUGUAUAUGUUAUGGUCGUUUUGGAGUCAUAAUAUGUAUUGGUAAAACUAAUUGGCUUUAUGAAUAAUCCAUUUUUAUGAGCAAACAGAUACACAAAGGAGCA